AGCGUACACGGUGGAUGCCCUGGCAGUCAGAGGCGAUGAAGGACGUGCUAAUCUGCGAUAAGCGUCGGUAAGGUGAUAUGAACCGUUAUAACCGGCGAUUUCCGAAUGGGGAAACCCAGUGUGUUUCGACACACUAUCAUUAACUGAAUCCAUAGGUUAAUGAGGCGAACCGGGGGAACUGAAACAUCUAAGUACCCCGAGGAAAAGAAAUCAACCGAGAUUCCCCCAGUAGCGGCGAGCGAACGGGGAGCAGCCCAGAGCCUGAAUCAGUGUGUGUGUUAGUGGAAGCGUCUGGAAAGGCGCGCGAUACAGGGUGACAGCCCCGUACACAAAAAUGCACAUGCUGUGAGCUCGAUGAGUAGGGCGGGACACGUGGUAUCCUGUCUGAAUAUGGGGGGACCAUCCUCCAAGGCUAAAUACUCCUGACUGACCGAUAGUGAACCAGUACCGUGAGGGAAAGGCGAAAAGAACCCCGGCGAGGGGAGUGAAAAAGAACCUGAAACCGUGUACGUACAAGCAGUGGGAGCACGCUUAGGCGUGUGACUGCGUACCUUUUGUAUAAUGGGUCAGCGACUUAUAUUCUGUAGCAAGGUUAACCGAAUAGGGGAGCCGAAGGGAAACCGAGUCUUAACUGGGCGUUAAGUUGCAGGGUAUAGACCCGAAACCCGGUGAUCUAGCCAUGGGCAGGUUGAAGGUUGGGUAACACUAACUGGAGGACCGAACCGACUAAUGUUGAAAAAUUAGCGGAUGACUUGUGGCUGGGGGUGAAAGGCCAAUCAAACCGGGAGAUAGCUGGUUCUCCCCGAAAGCUAUUUAGGUAGCGCCUCGUGAAUUCAUCUCCGGGGGUAGAGCACUGUUUCGGCAAGGGGGUCAUCCCGACUUACCAACCCGAUGCAAACUGCGAAUACCGGAGAAUGUUAUCACGGGAGACACACGGCGGGUGCUAACGUCCGUCGUGAAGAGGGAAACAACCCAGACCGCCAGCUAAGGUCCCAAAGUCAUGGUUAAGUGGGAAACGAUGUGGGAAGGCCCAGACAGCCAGGAUGUUGGCUUAGAAGCAGCCAUCAUUUAAAGAAAGCGUAAUAGCUCACUGGUCGAGUCGGCCUGCGCGGAAGAUGUAACGGGGCUAAACCAUGCACCGAAGCUGCGGCAGCGACGCUUAUGCGUUGUUGGGUAGGGGAGCGUUCUGUAAGCCUGCGAAGGUGUGCUGUGAGGCAUGCUGGAGGUAUCAGAAGUGCGAAUGCUGACAUAAGUAACGAUAAAGCGGGUGAAAAGCCCGCUCGCCGGAAGACCAAGGGUUCCUGUCCAACGUUAAUCGGGGCAGGGUGAGUCGACCCCUAAGGCGAGGCCGAAAGGCGUAGUCGAUGGGAAACAGGUUAAUAUUCCUGUACUUGGUGUUACUGCGAAGGGGGGACGGAGAAGGCUAUGUUGGCCGGGCGACGGUUGUCCCGGUUUAAGCGUGUAGGCUGGUUUUCCAGGCAAAUCCGGAAAAUCAAGGCUGAGGCGUGAUGACGAGGCACUACGGUGCUGAAGCAACAAAUGCCCUGCUUCCAGGAAAAGCCUCUAAGCAUCAGGUAACAUCAAAUCGUACCCCAAACCGACACAGGUGGUCAGGUAGAGAAUACCAAGGCGCUUGAGAGAACUCGGGUGAAGGAACUAGGCAAAAUGGUGCCGUAACUUCGGGAGAAGGCACGCUGAUAUGUAGGUGAAGCGACUUGCUCGUGGAGCUGAAAUCAGUCGAAGAUACCAGCUGGCUGCAACUGUUUAUUAAAAACACAGCACUGUGCAAACACGAAAGUGGACGUAUACGGUGUGACGCCUGCCCGGUGCCGGAAGGUUAAUUGAUGGGGUCAGCGCAAGCGAAGCUCUUGAUCGAAGCCCCGGUAAACGGCGGCCGUAACUAUAACGGUCCUAAGGUAGCGAAAUUCCUUGUCGGGUAAGUUCCGACCUGCACGAAUGGCGUAAUGAUGGCCAGGCUGUCUCCACCCGAGACUCAGUGAAAUUGAACUCGCUGUGAAGAUGCAGUGUACCCGCGGCAAGACGGAAAGACCCCGUGAACCUUUACUAUAGCUUGACACUGAACAUUGAGCCUUGAUGUGUAGGAUAGGUGGGAGGCUUUGAAGUGUGGACGCCAGUCUGCAUGGAGCCGACCUUGAAAUACCACCCUUUAAUGUUUGAUGUUCUAACGUUGACCCGUAAUCCGGGUUGCGGACAGUGUCUGGUGGGUAGUUUGACUGGGGCGGUCUCCUCCUAAAGAGUAACGGAGGAGCACGAAGGUUGGCUAAUCCUGGUCGGACAUCAGGAGGUUAGUGCAAUGGCAUAAGCCAGCUUGACUGCGAGCGUGACGGCGCGAGCAGGUGCGAAAGCAGGUCAUAGUGAUCCGGUGGUUCUGAAUGGAAGGGCCAUCGCUCAACGGAUAAAAGGUACUCCGGGGAUAACAGGCUGAUACCGCCCAAGAGUUCAUAUCGACGGCGGUGUUUGGCACCUCGAUGUCGGCUCAUCACAUCCUGGGGCUGAAGUAGGUCCCAAGGGUAUGGCUGUUCGCCAUUUAAAGUGGUACGCGAGCUGGGUUUAGAACGUCGUGAGACAGUUCGGUCCCUAUCUGCCGUGGGCGCUGGAGA
rnacentral:rRNA from 1 species